AAGGGAACAUGGUCUGUGGGAGCACUGAGGUGGCCGCGAUGGCUCAGGGUGCAAAAGGGAAGGUGCUGGCUGUGUGCAGACACGACAGAGAUUUGUGGGUCAGGAAAGUCCAUCGGCAGCUCUCCUCUCUGCCUUCAGUCUCUUCAUCUGGACACAGAUAUCCUGGGCAUGUGUGUGUUUCUGGACCUGGCACAUCCUGAGUGAAUCUUGGCCUCUUGAACCCAGCAGCCUCCUGCUGCAGAGUCACUGAGAUGCUGUGCAAUUAUGACAUACCCUCCCACCACAAAAGAACAUUCCAGCUUGUCCAGGGGAUGGUCACAGAGGCCAGUGCUCCACUGGAUCCCCAGCAGCAGAAGCCUUCUGUGGUAGUAAAAGCAUGGGCAUCAGAGGCCGAGUCCGGGGUUCCCAUCCUGAUCCAUCACUGACUAGGUGCUGUGGGGCCUUGGGCAUUCACUGGAGGCCCACUCUGGGCCAGGCGCUGUGUUCACAGUGAGAUGAAAACGUCCCUCUGGCCGGGUGCGGUGGCUCAAGCCUGUAAUCCCAGCACUUUGGGAGGCCGAGACGGGUGGAUCACGAGGUGAGAAACGCUGCAGGCAGGAAUCCAGCCGUCAUUCUUGACACCACCCUUAUCUAAUCCCCUGCCAACUGCUAGUUCAAGCCAGCAUCAGCUCUCUCCUGGACCACUGCCACCGCCUCCUAACAGGAUUCCCACCUCCGCUCUCAUUACCCCCGAUCUGCAGCCAACUUGAGAUGAUCAUGUCACCCCUUCCACACCCAACACAACUCCAAAAUGCAAAGAGGCUUCCUCUGUUCUUGGAUCAAGGGUUUAAACAUGAUCUAGAAGGCCUUGCGUUGUCA